AAUGUCUGGGAAACUGCCUGAUGGAGGGGGAUAACUACUGGAAACGGUAGCUAAUACCGCAUAACGUCGCAAGACCAAAGAGGGGGACCUUCGGGCCUCUUGCCAUCGGAUGUGCCCAGAUGGGAUUAGCUAGUAGGUGGGGUAACGGCUCACCUAGGCGACGAUCCCUAGCUGGUCUGAGAGGAUGACCAGCCACACUGGAACUGAGACACGGUCCAGACUCCUACGGGAGGCAGCAGUGGGGAAUAUUGCACAAUGGGCGCAAGCCUGAUGCAGCCAUGCCGCGUGUAUGAAGAAGGCCUUCGGGUUGUAAAGUACUUUCAGCGGGGAGGAA
rnacentral:rRNA from 1 species